rnacentral:lncRNA from 1 species
AAUAGCGCCUGCCUAUCAUUCUAUAAAGAAGAGAAACAUGCAGAGCAGACAGAUAUCAAUAUCCAACGGCUGUUCUCUUAUGGAAAAUACCUUUCAAUCUUUACACUGAAUACCAUGGAUGGUGAUGAUGAGAGAUGCGUGCAUGUGGCGGCAGAUAGGAGAAUAGGCAAGCUGAUGGGAUCAAUGACAGGAAUGGAGAGAAGGGACCUGUCUACGGAUAUGAGAGUUGCCACUAGGAGGCAAAGAUUGAAGAGGAGGUUCUGGCAAUGAGACAAGAUGGAAAAGUAAUCCCAUUACGUAUAAACACUACAUUCUAUUUUUGAGCUUAACCUCAUGUAUUCCUUCAUCAGCCACCACACGUUACUCCACAUCCUAUCCGCUUUAAUCACUUCCUUAUGUUGCUUGUGUGGACAUGCCCUUUCCAAAUAGACCAUAUGUAUCUUUGAGAAGUCCCUGCAAUACAUCUCCUUCUCUACAUUUCCAUCCCGCAGCAUUUCCUAUGUGCAAAGUAAAUGUUAAAGUUAAAAACCUAGUAGCAUUAAAUAUUCACAUUUU